rnacentral:lncRNA from 1 species
CCCUUCCGGAUUUCCCUGAGCGUUUUAUGACGAUCCUGGACCUACUGUGUGGACAGGGAGGGCAGGCCCAGCUUGUAUCAUUCUGAUUGUCAGCGGACACCAUUUUAGGGCCCAUCAGGCUCUUUUGGCUGCUUGAAAAAUCACUAACUGACUAAGAAGAAAAUUAUUUGUGGAAAACUGCAGUUCAUAGCAUGAGAAACCUGGACUGAGGACACAAGGCAAAUGACAACACAGACUACAGCCAGUAAUUUUUGAUUCAACUGUGCAACUGGAUGAAGCCUAAAAAAAAGGAGACAGUACAAAUCGUGAAAGUCAGAAGAUUUCACCUAGGAACCUGGAUUUGUGUAUCAGUUAUCUACUACCAUGAUAAUGCUGCAGAGCAAACAACCACAAAGCUUUGGUGGCAUGCAAAAAGUAAGUUUAUUACUCAUGUGUCUAGGAUAAAUUGAGGUUUAGUUAUGUGGCUUCCUUGAUCUUGGUGGGCUCACACAUCUGGCUUUCAGCUAGGGCAAUUUGUCUUUUCUCUGUAUCCUUGACUCUUAAAUAUGUGUUCUCAUGCUGAUGGUAAAAAUAAAAUAAGAGUAUGCAGAAAUGUGUAAGACUUU